rnacentral:rRNA from 1 species
CUGACGGGUCUUACCAUGCGCGUCGUUCGGACCUAGCUCAGCUUGCUGGGCGGAUCAGUGGCGAACGGGUGAGUAACACGUGAGCAACCUGCCCUCCACUUCGGGAUAAGCCUUGGAAACGGGGUCUAAUACCGGAUAUGAGCGCCUGCCGCAUGGUGGGUGUUGGAAAGUUUUUCGGUGGGGGAUGGGCUCGCGGCCUAUCAGCUUGUUGGUGGGGUGAUGGCCUACCAAGGCUUCGACGGGUAGCCGGCCUGAGAGGGCGACCGGCCACACUGGGACUGAGACACGGCCCAGACUCCUACGGGAGGCAGCAGUGGGGAAUAUUGCACAAUGGGCGAAAGCCUGAUGCAGCGACGCCGCGUGAGGGAUGACGGCCUUCGGGUUGUAAACCUCUUUCAGCAGGGAAGAAGCGCAAGUGACGGUACCUGCAGAAGAAGCGCCGGCUAACUACGUGCCAGCAGCCGCGGUAAUACGUAGGGCGCAAGCGUUGUCCGGAAUUAUUGGGCGUAAAGAGCUCGUAGGCGGUUUGUCGCGUCUGGUGUGAAAUCCCGAGGCUCAACCUCGGGCUUGCAUCGGGUACGGGCAGACUAGAGUGCGGUAGGGGAGACUGGAAUUCCUGGUGUAGCGGUGGAAUGCGCAGAUAUCAGGAGGAACACCGAUGGCGAAGGCAGGUCUCUGGGCCGCAACUGACGCUGAGGAGCGAAAGCAUGGGGAGCGAACAGGAUUAGAUACCCUGGUAGUCCAUGCCGUAAACGUUGGGCACUAGGUGUGGGGCUCAUUCCACGAGUUCCGUGCCGCAGCUAACGCAUUAAGUGCCCCGCCUGGGGAGUACGGCCGCAAGGCUAAAACUCAAAGGAAUUGACGGGGGCCCGCACAAGCGGCGGAGCAUGCGGAUUAAUUCGAUGCAACGCGAAGAACCUUACCAAGGCUUGACAUGCACCGGAAACCGCCAGAGAUGGUGGCCCCGCAAGGUCGGUGCACAGGUGGUGCAUGGUUGUCG